GAUGAAGAACGUAGUGAAAUGCGAUAAGUAAUGUGAAUUGCAGAAUCCAGUGAAUCAUCGAAUCUUUGAACGCACAUUGCGCCCGCCAGCAUUCUGGCGGGAAUGCCUGUUCGAGCGUCAUUUCAACCCUCGACCUCCCUUUGGGGAAGUCGGCGUUGGGGACCGGCAGCACACCGCCGGCCCUGAAAUGGAGUGGCGGCCCGUCCGCGGCGACCUCUGCGUAGUAAACCAACUCGCACCGGAACCCCGACGUGGCCACGCCGUAAAACGCCCAACUUCUGAACGUUGACCUCGAAUCAGGUAGGACUACCCGCUGAACUUAAGCAUAUCAAUACGCGGAGGA
rnacentral:misc_RNA from 1 species